UACGAAAGGAGCAGGUGUUAUUCAGAUUAACUGGGCGUAAAGGGCACGUAGGUGGUUUUGUUUAUGUGUAUUAUUAAAUUGUAAAGCAUAACUUUAUAACGUAUUACAGAACAACAAAACUAGAGUUAGGUAGAGGGUAGUAGAAUUUCUAAUGUAAAGGUGAAAUUUGAUAAAAUUAGAGAGAAUACCAAUGGCGUAAGCAACUAUCUGGUCCUAA
rnacentral:rRNA from 1 species